rnacentral:tRNA from 1 species
GCUCUCUUCGUCUAGGGGUUAGGACAUCACCUUUUCACGGUGAAAACGUCAGUUCAAAUCUGUCAGAGAGUA